AUUGAACGCUGGCGGCAGGCCUAACACAUGCAAGUCGAACGAGUGGCGGACGGGUGAGUAAUGUCUGGGAAACUUCCUGAUGGCGGGGGAUAACUACUGGAAACGGUAGCUAAUCCCGCAUACCAUCGGAUGUGCCCAGAGGGGAUGAGCUGGUAGGUGGGGUAAAGGGUACCCUAGGCGACGAUCCCUAGCUGGUCUGAGAGGAUGACCAGCCACACUGGAACUGGGACACGGUCCAGACUCCUACGGGAGGCAGCAGUGGGGAAUGUUGCCCAAUGGGCGCAAGCCUGAUGCAGCCAUUCCGCGUGUAUGAAGAAGGCCUUCGGGUUGUAAAGUACUUUCAGCGGAGAGGCGUUACCCGCAGAAGAAGCACCGGCUAACUCCGUGCCAGCAGCCGCGGUAAUUC
rnacentral:rRNA from 1 species